AAGUCGUAACAAGGUUUCCGUAGGUGAACCUGCGGAAGGAUCAUUAAUGAAUUGAUAGGGAGUUGAUGCUGGCUGCCCUCCGGGGUAGCAUGUGCUCGCUUCCGACAAUCUUAUCCAUACACCUGUGCACACAUGUGAGGGGGGAACUGAAAAGUCCCUUCUUAUUAUUAUUAUACAUACACCAAAUUAGGAAAUCGCACGUGACUUGCGUCGUAUGGCGCUUAAAAAUGAAAUACAACUUUUAACAACGGAUCUCUUGGCUCUC
rnacentral:misc_RNA from 1 species